AGGUAACUUGAAAGCAGGCUUGUGGAACUCUUAACACUAUCUAUGACUGAAGACUGAAGUUCUUCAUGGUUUACUAUGUCAUCUAUUAGUGCUAUUUUCCCGAGGAGAUAUAAGA
rnacentral:snoRNA from 1 species